rnacentral:rRNA from 1 species
CCUACGGGAGGCAGCAGUGGGGAAUCUUGCGCAAUGGGCGAAAGCCUGACGCAGCCAUGCCGCGUGAAUGAUGAAGGUCUUAGGAUUGUAAAAUUCUUUCACCGGGGACGAUAAUGACGGUACCCGGAGAAGAAGCCCCGGCUAACUUCGUGCCAGCAGCCGCGGUAAUACGAAGGGGGCUAGCGUUGCUCGGAAUUACUGGGCGUAAAGGGAGCGUAGGCGGAUAGUUUAGUCAGAGGUGAAAGCCCAGGGCUCAACCUUGGAAUUGCCUUUGAUACUGGCUAUCUUGAGUACGGAAGAGGUAUGUGGAACUCCGAGUGUAGAGGUGAAAUUCGUAGAUAUUCGGAAGAACACCAGUGGCGAAGGCGACAUACUGGUCCGUUACUGACGCUGAGGCUCGAAAGCGUGGGGAGCAAACAGGAUUAGAUACCCUGGUAGUCCACGCUGUAAACGAUGAGUGCUAGUUGUCGGUCGAGGCAUGCUCGUCGGUGACGCGAGCUACGCAUUAAGUACACUCCGCCGUCGGGUAGGUACGGUCGCGAGAUUAAACUAACAAGAAGUUAGACGGCGUGAGACGUGCCGAACGGACGACGACGAGGGAGGUAGG